rnacentral:lncRNA from 1 species
UGACUGAAAAGAUGUGCCAACCCCUACAGGGGUGUGAAGUUUUUAUCCAGAAGCAGAAAUGGCCAAAGACAAGAAUAACUUAAAGUUUAAAUUGUUUCUUGGGUUGAAGAUCAAUAAGAUGUUGAGGAAAAUGAGAAUGGGAUGUAUUUGAGCAUAACAAUGAGAAACAAUCGUCUCUGCACUCUCUCACCCCGCAGAUAAAGCAUUCCUGUGACCAAGUUGGGAAAAGAAUGAUGAGCUGAUCUAUGUCAGCACAGGAAGCCUUUGUGUGGACUGACAGCAGCUGUCUUCAUUAAGAAAAGCGGACCUGUGAAGACUUUCUUUGCUGAGACAUGAAUGUGUGGAUGGGUGAUUUAAGUACUUCAGGACCUCAAGUUGAGAGCUACAUCUUCAAGUCUGCUCAAGGGCCGGUGCGGGGUCUGGAAGAGCUGGAGGGUGUGAUCCAAGUGAGCCGCCCAUUCCCUGCUGCAAUGCUCCCCGCUCCCUCUUCCAAGCCUUUCACGCACGGACUCAAACUCAGGUGACUCGAGCACAGGGCCCAGGAUAGGACAGUGCAGUCCUCAUUCUGCUCACUCAGAAGUGUGUUAAGACCCCUACCUCUGUAUUUAUUCCACCCCUGGUUUGUAGGUCAGCGCCUCUGUCUCUGGAGUGAGACUAACCUGGAGCCUUCUUUGUACAACACGUAGUUAUAGGUUGUGGGAGGCCACAAGUGGAGUGGAAGACGCAGUGGCUAUUUUUGCUGAGCUGGCUUUUGGGAUGUUGUACACAUUAGGGAUAGAUAUAUUUCCCUGGCUGCAAAAAUCCUGCACAAGUUUUACUCUUUUGCUGACAAAAACCUUCUUCAUGAUUGGAGAGUGGGAGGCAGGCUCGAAUUUUCGGCUCAGUAGAGGUUAUCUCCCCUGACCCCCGCAUCCCCUGAUUGUCCUUUCUCUCUUUUUCCAGUUGUUGCUGAGCCCUGGAGAAGGAUUCAGGCUCAGUACAUUGGGAGCUCAGGCAGAUUUGGAUCUUGUUUGCCUCAGGACCACUGAGAUUUUGAUUAAUUAAGGCUUUAUUCCUUUUUCCUGCUUCAAUCUCCCUUCUAAUUUUCCAAUUUGAACUUACUUGAAUUUACCAGAUUGUACAGCCCUGCUUCAGGUAACCUGUUUGUUUGUGAAAUAAAGAAGUCCUCAUAAUAUGUAAGUGAUGCUGCAAAUCAUGCUGUCCUAGCACCAUUUCCCCCUUCCU